AUUGAACGCUGGCGGCAGGCCUAACACAUGCAAGUCGAACGAGUGGCGGACGGGUGAGUAAUGUCUGGGAACCUGCCCGAUGGAGGGGGCUAACUACUGGAAACGGUAGCUAAUACCGCAUACCAUCGGAUGUGCCCAGAUGGGAUUAGCUGGUAGGUGAGUGAACGGCUCACCGAGGCGACGAUCCCUAGCUGGUCUGAGAGGAUGACCAGGCAAACUGGAACUGAGACACGGUCCAGACUCCUACGGGAGGCAGCAGUGGGGAAUAUUGCACAAUGGGCGCAAGCCUGAUGCAGCCAUGCCGCGUGUGUGAAGAAGGCCUUCGGGUUGUAAAGCACUUUAAGCGGGGAGGCGUUACCCGCAGAAGAAGCACCGGCUAACUCCGUGCCAGCAGCCGCGGUAAUAC
rnacentral:rRNA from 1 species